rnacentral:rRNA from 1 species
CAUGGCUGUCGUCAGCUCGUGUUGUGAAAUGUUGGGUUAAGUCCCGCAACGAGCGCAACCCUUAUCCUUUGUUGCCAGCGGUCCGGCCGGGAACUCAAAGGAGACUGCCAGUGAUAAACUGGAGGAAGGUGGGGAUGACGUCAAGUCAUCAUGGCCCUUACGACCAGGGCUACACACGUGCUACAAUGGCGCAUACAAAGAGAAGCGACCUCGCGAGAGCAAGCGGACCUCAUAAAGUGCGUCGUAGUCCGGAUUGGAGUCUGCAACUCGACUCCAUGAAGUCGGAAUCGCUAGUAAUCGUGGAUCAGAAUGCCACGGUGAAUACGUUCCCGGGCCUUGUACACACCGCCCGUCACACCAUGGGAGUGGGUUGCAAAAGAAGUAGGUAGCUUAACCUUCGGGAGGGCGCUUACCACUUUGUGAUUCAUGACUGGGGUGAAGUCGUAACAAGGUAACCGUAGGGGAACCUGCGGUUGGAUCACCUCCUU